GACGAACGCUGGCGGCGUGCUUAACACAUGCAAGUCGAACGGAAAGACCCUGCUCUUGUUGGGUGCUCGAGUGGCGAACGCGUGAGUAACACAUGAGUAACCUGCCCUUAACUUUGUGAUAACUUCAGGAAACUGGGGCUCAUACCGGAUAGGAGCUCCUGCUGCAUGGUGGGGGUUGGAAAGUUUCGGCGGUUGGGGAUGGAUUCGCGGCUUAUCAGCUUGUUGGGGGGGUAGUGGCUUACCAAGGCUUCGACGGGUAGCCGGCCUGAGAGGGUGACCGGCGACAUUGGGACUGAGAGGAGGCACAGACUGCUACGGGAGGGAGCAGUGGGGAAUAUUGCACAAUGGGCGGAAGGCUGAUGCAGCAACGCCGCGUGCGGUAUGACGGCCUUCGGGUUGUAAAACGCUUGCGCCUGUGACGAAGCGUGAGUGAAGGUAAUGGGUAAAGAAGCACCGGCUAACUACGUG
rnacentral:rRNA from 1 species